CAAUAGCGUAUAUUUAAGUUGUUGCAGUUAAAAAGCUCGUAGUUGGAUUUCGGGUGGGACGCAGCGGUCUCGCAUUGCGUUUGUACUGCUGCAGCCCUCCUUCUUGCCGGGGGCGGCCUCUCGGGCUUCACUGUCUGGGGGUCAGAAUCGGCGAUGUUACUUUGAGUAAAUUAGAGUGUUCAAAGCAAGCUUACGCUCUGAAUAUAAUAGCAUGGGAUAACACGACAGGACUCUGGCCUAUCGUGUUGGUCUAUAGGACCAGAGUAAUGAUUAAGAGGGACAGUCGGGGGCAUUCGUAUUCCGUUGUCAGAGGUGAAAUUCUUGGAUUUACGGAAGACGAACAUCUGCGAAAGCAUUUGCCAAGGAUGUUUUCAUUG
rnacentral:rRNA from 1 species